rnacentral:rRNA from 1 species
GUUUGAUCAUGGCUCAGAUUGAACGCUGGCGGCAGGCUUAACACAUGCAAGUCGAGCGGGGGAAGGUAGCUUGCUACUGGACCUAGCGGCGGACGGGUGAGUAAUGCUUAGGAAUCUGCCUAUUAGUGGGGGACAACAUCUCGAAAGGGAUGCUAAUACCGCAUACGUCCUACGGGAGAAAGCAGGGGAUCUUCGGACCUUGCGCUAAUAGAUGAGCCUAAGUCGGAUUAGCUAGUUGGUGGGGUAAAGGCCUACCAAGGCGACGAUCUGUAGCGGGUCUGAGAGGAUGAUCCGCCACACUGGGACUGAGACACGGCCCAGACUCCUACGGGAGGCAGCAGUGGGGAAUAUUGGACAAUGGGGGGAACCCUGAUCCAGCCAUGCCGCGUGUGUGAAGAAGGCCU